AGGGUCUGUAUGGUUCUUUGUUACAAGAUGUUCUGUAAGGCAGUUAGGACCUUAAAGGGUGAAUUGACAUCGUAAAGAUAAAUUCAACCCAUCAUGACAGCUCAUGUAUGGGGACCAUAAUCGUGCACAGUUUUUGAAAACAUUGCUCCAAUCUUGGAUUGGAUCUCAAUUGUCAGAGAAGGUGAAAGGUGUGGGAAAAAGGAGCAAAAAUUCAUAAAGCUGCACAAAAGGCCAUCAGUCAAGGUCUUAGGAAAGCUUUGAAAGGACACGAUCAAUGGAAGAAUGUCAGCAGAAACAUCAAGGUGACAGCUAACACCGCUCCUUGGUUAUUGCA